AUGAGCAAACCUUUGGGACCAAAGCACAUGGGCCUCUCCACUUACGAGGAAGAGUGUCUGGCUAUACUGAUGGUAGUAUAACAAUGGUGCCCCUAUCUCCAUCAUGACGAGUUACUGAUUCGCACGGAUCAGCGCAGCCGCAUCCACCUCGAUGAUCAAUGGCCGUCCACCGUGUGGAAACAGAAAGCCUUCACUAAAUUGUUGGGUCUGCGUUACAAAAUCAGUUAUCGCCAAGGCACUGCCAACAGUGCAGCCGACGGAGUCUCCUGCCAUUACACACUUCAAACCAAGCCAUGGUCGUGUCAGUCUGCCAACCUACUUGGGUGGAGGACAUCCGUGCCAGUUAUCCAGAGAAUGGCCAAGCUAAGGAACUGCUCACUAAUUUUUUCAAGAGACUUCAUGCAAAACAGAGGUUUUCGGUCUCAGACGGCUUGCUGUACUUGCGCCAUAGGUUAUGGCUCAAGGGGUCACCAACACUACAGCGUCAUAUUUGGCGCGCCAUUCAUGACAAAACAGUGCGUGGGCACUCCGGAUUUCUGUUCACUUACCAUCGCAUCUGCCGCCUUUUUGCCUGGCCCAAAAUGA
rnacentral:rRNA from 1 species